GAAAACGCCGCCCCACUGCUUCCCUCUUGCUCUGCACUCCAGUGACGGUGGUGGAGAUGAUUGUAAAUGACGUCAUGAACUUCUGUCAGGACUUAAAUCAAGGUGUAGUGGCAGGUUCUCGGCAGUCGGCGCCACCUUGACGAAGGAAUGGAAGCUGCUGGUGAAAUCUCAUGUUCCCCUGGCUGACAUUGUGGUCAAGAUGAUCCUGGCUCCUCUACUGAAAGAGGUGUUGUGACCUCUCCUCCUGAGCUGGACGUCCAUCUUCAGUGACAGGUACACAAUCUGACUCUGAAACUAAUCCUGAUGCACGGUUCCUAAGGAUCUGUGCUGUGGUCAGUAGGAUAGAUUCUCCAACUUCGUGCUAAAGUAACGGGGAGACUUUGACUGUCCAGGCUGGCUGGUGUCUGUGACGGUCACUCGACUGCCCUACACGUCAGUUCAGCGUUGGAAAAACCAAGGAACACACUGCCUUCAUAUUAAUCAUUGAGUCAAGUGGUGCUGAGCCGACGCAGUCGCCGUGCGUCCAUCUGAAGUUAAUCAGCUGUAGGUUUACCGGCUGUGGAAGGAGUCCUGGUUUGACUGCAUGUGGGUCAUCAAAGGAAUGGCUGAACGGAGCUGUGUGUGGAGCUGGCAGGCGAAGCUGUGGCUGCAGAAACGGCUUUUCGGUGACGUCAGUACAGUCCUGAGCGUUUCCUAAUGCAAUAAAGCGAAUGAGCUCA